GAUCGAACGGGGAGAUUCAUCGUCAGCGGCGCUGGCUUCGCGUCGGUGGGCGAUGUUCCGCGGAGCCCUUGCGGAUCCUACCGNNNNCACGCUACCGUGCGCCGAUGUCCGGCGCUCGUCGUCGUGCACUUCUCCCCUAGUAGGACGUCGCGACCCGCUGGGUGUCGGUCUACGGCCCGGGUGCGGUGACUGUCGCGUCGCCGGUAAAACGGCACGCGGCAAACCCCCGGUCGCCCGGCCGGCUGCCCGGCGGUACACGCAUGGUAUCAGGCCGCACUCUCUUACGGUGUGCGUCGAGACCGUCGCAAGCGCGCGCCACGUUACUCGGUGGUUACGGACCUCGCUCCGUGCCCGGUACUGGCCCGCUGUUGGUCGUACGGUACUCCUUCGACAGGCCUGCUCACGACAGUAUACCGGUCGGCGACGCUACUGCU
rnacentral:rRNA from 1 species